AUACGUAGGGGGCGAGCGUUGUCCGGAAUGAUUGGGCGUAAAGGGCGCGUAGGCGGCCCGGUAAGUCUGGAGUGAAAGUCCUGUUUUUAAGAUGGGAAUUGCUUUGGAUACUGUCGGGCUUGAGUGCAGGAGAGUCAAGUGGAAUUCCCAGUGUAGCGGUGAAAUGCGUAGAUAUUGGGAGGAACUCCUGUGGCGAAGGCGACUUGCUGGACUGUAACUGACGCUGAUGCACGAAAGUGUGGGGAGCAAACAGGAUUGGAUACCCUGGUAGUCCACACUGUAAACGAUGAAUGCUAGGUGUAGGGGGUAUCGACCCCUUCUGUGCCGCAGUCAACACAAUAAGCAUUCCGCCUGGGGAGUACGGCGGCAAGGUUGAAACUCAAAGGAAUUGACGGGG
rnacentral:rRNA from 1 species